rnacentral:rRNA from 1 species
AGUGAACGCUGGCGGUAGGCCUAACACAUGCAAGUCGAACGGCAGCACAGUAAGAGCUUGCUCUUACGGGUGGCGAGUGGCGGACGGGUGAGGAAUACAUCGGAAUCUACUUUUUCGUGGGGGAUAACGUAGGGAAACUUACGCUAAUACCGCAUACGACCUACGGGUGAAAGCAGGGGAUCUUCGGACCUUGCGCGAUUGAAUGAGCCGAUGUCGGAUUAGCUAGUUGGCGGGGUAAAGGCCCACCAAGGCGACGAUCCGUAGCUGGUCUGAGAGGAUGAUCAGCCACAUUGGAACUGAGACACGGUCCAGACUCCUACGGGAGGCAGCAGUGGGGAAUAUUAGACAAUGGGCGCAAGCGUGAUCCAGCCAUACCGCGUGCGUGAAGAAGGCCUUCGGGUUGUAAAGCCCUUUUGUUGGGAAAGAAAAGCAGCAGGGUAAUACCCCGCUGUGCUGACGGUACCCAAAGAAUAAGCACCGGCUAACUUCGUG